CUCGUAGGCGGUUUCAUAAGUCGGAUGUGAAAGCCCUAGGCUUAACCAAGGAAGUGCAUUCGAAACUGUGGGACUUGAGUAUGGGAGAGGGUUGUGGAAUUCCCGGUGUAGAGGUGAAAUUCGUAGAUAUCGGGAGGAACACCAGUGGCGAAGGCGACAACCUGGACCAAUACUGACGCUGAGGAGCGAAAGCGUGGGGAGCAAACA
rnacentral:rRNA from 1 species